rnacentral:rRNA from 1 species
GGUUAAGCGACUAAGCGUACACGGUGGAUGCCCUGGCAGUCAGAGGCGAUGAAGGACGUGCUAAUCUGCGAAAAGCGUCGGUAAGGUGAUAUGAACCGUUAUAACCGGCGAUGUCCGAAUGGGGAAACCCAGUGCAAUUCGUUGCACUAUCGUUAACUGAAUACAUAGGUUAACGAGGCGAACCGGGGGAACUGAAACAUCUAAGUACCCCGAGGAAAAGAAAUCAACCGAGAUUCCCCCAGUAGCGGCGAGCGAACGGGGAGCAGCCCAGAGUCUGAAUCAGCUUGUGUGUUAGUGGAACGGUCUGGAAAGUCCGACGGUACAGGGUGAUAGUCCCGUACACCAAAAUGCACAGGCUGUGAACUCGAAGAGUAGGGCGGGACACGUGGUAUCCUGUCUGAAUAUGGGGGGACCAUCCUCCAAGGCUAAAUACUCCUGACUGACCGAUAGUGAACCAGUACCGUGAGGGAAAGGCGAAAAGAACCCCGGCGAGGGGAGUGAAAAAGAACCUGAAACCGUGUACGUACAAGCAGUGGGAGCACCUUCGUGGUGUGACUGCGUACCUUUUGUAUAAUGGGUCAGCGACUUAUAUUCUGUAGCAAGGUUAACCGUAUAGGGGAGCCGCAGGGAAACCGAGUCUUAACUGGGCGUUAAGUUGCAGGGUAUAGACCCGAAACCCGGUGAUCUAGCCAUGGGCAGGUUGAAGGUUGGGUAACACUAACUGGAGGACCGAACCGACUAAUGUUGAAAAAUUAGCGGAUGACUUGUGGCUGGGGGUGAAAGGCCAAUCAAACCGGGAGAUAGCUGGUUCUCCCCGAAAGCUAUUUAGGUAGCGCCUCGUGAACUCAUCUUCGGGGGUAGAGCACUGUUUCGGCUAGGGGGUCAUCCCGACUUACCAACCCGAUGCAAACUACGAAUACCGAAGAAUGUUAUCACGGGAGACACACGGCGGGUGCUAACGUCCGUCGUGAAGAGGGAAACAACCCAGACCGCCAGCUAAGGUCCCAAAGUCAUGGUUAAGUGGGAAACGAUGUGGGAAGGCACAGACAGCCAGGAUGUUGGCUUAGAAGCAGCCAUCAUUUAAAGAAAGCGUAAUAGCUCACUGGUCGAGUCGGCCUGCGCGGAAGAUGUAACGGGGCUAAACCAUGCACCGAAGCUGCGGCAGCGACACUAUGUGUUGUUGGGUAGGGGAGCGUUCUGUAAGCCUGCGAAGGUGACCUGUGAGGGUUGCUGGAGGUAUCAGAAGUGCGAAUGCUGACAUAAGUAACGAUAAAGCGGGUGAAAAGCCCGCUCGCCGGAAGACCAAGGGUUCCUGUCCAACGUUAAUCGGGGCAGGGUGAGUCGACCCCUAAGGCGAGGCCGAAAGGCGUAGUCGAUGGGAAACAGGUUAAUAUUCCUGUACUUGGUGUUACUGCGAAGGGGGGACGGAGAAGGCUAUGUUAGCCGGGCGACGGUUGUCCCGGUUUAAGCAUGUAGGCUGGUUAUCCAGGCAAAUCCGGAUAAUCAAGGCUGAGGUGUGAUGACGAGGCACUACGGUGCUGAAGUAACAAAUGCCCUGCUUCCAGGAAAAGCCUCUAAGCAUCAGGUAACAUCAAAUCGUACCCCAAACCGACACAGGUGGUCAGGUAGAGAAUACCAAGGCGCUUGAGAGAACUCGGGUGAAGGAACUAGGCAAAAUGGUGCCGUAACUUCGGGAGAAGGCACGCUGGUGUGUAGGUGAAGUCCCUGCGGAUGGAGCUGAGACCAGUCGAAGAUACCAGCUGGCUGCAACUGUUUAUUAAAAACACAGCACUGUGCAAACACGAAAGUGGACGUAUACAGUGUGACGCCUGCCCGGUGCCGGAAGGUUAAUUGAUGGGGUUAUCCGUAAGGAGAAGCUCUUGAUCGAAGCCCCGGUAAACGGCGGCCGUAACUAUAACGGUCCUAAGGUAGCGAAAUUCCUUGUCGGGUAAGUUCCGACCUGCACGAAUGGCGUAAUGAUGGCCAGGCUGUCUCCACCCGAGACUCAGUGAAAUUGAACUCGCUGUGAAGAUGCAGUGUACCCGCGGCAAGACGGAAAGACCCCGUGAACCUUUACUAUAGCUUGACACUGAACAUUGAGCCUUGAUGUGUAGGAUAGGUGGGAGGCUUUGAAGCGUGGACGCCAGUCUGCGUGGAGCCAACCUUGAAAUACCACCCUUUAAUGUUUGAUGUUCUAACGUUGGCCCCUGACCGGGGUUGCGGACAGUGUCUGGUGGGUAGUUUGACUGGGGCGGUCUCCUCCCAAAGCGUAACGGAGGAGCACGAAGGUUAGCUAAUCCUGGUCGGACAUCAGGAGGUUAGUGCAAUGGCAUAAGCUAGCUUGACUGCGAGCGUGACGGCGCGAGCAGGUGCGAAAGCAGGUCAUAGUGAUCCGGUGGUUCUGAAUGGAAGGGCCAUCGCUCAACGGAUAAAAGGUACUCCGGGGAUAACAGGCUGAUACCGCCCAAGAGUUCAUAUCGACGGCGGUGUUUGGCACCUCGAUGUCGGCUCAUCACAUCCUGGGGCUGAAGUAGGUCCCAAGGGUAUGGCUGUUCGCCAUUUAAAGUGGUACGCGAGCUGGGUUUAGAACGUCGUGAGACAGUUCGGUCCCUAUCUGCCGUGGGCGCUGGAGAAUUGAGGGGGGCUGCUCCUAGUACGAGAGGACCGGAGUGGACGCAUCACUGGUGUUCGGGUUGUCAUGCCAAUGGCACUGCCCGGUAGCUAAAUGCGGAAGAGAUAAGUGCUGAAAGCAUCUAAGCACGAAACUUGCCCCGAGAUGAGUUCUCCCUGAGACUUUAAGUCUCCUGAAGGAACGUUAAAGACGAUGACGUUGAUAGGCCGGGUGUGUAAGCGCAGCGAUGCGUUGAGCUAACCGGUACUAAUGAACCGUGAGGCUUAACCUU